ensembl:lncRNA
AUGUUUCAAAUUCCUGCACGACUGCGCAUUUUAUGUGGAGAAAAAGCAUUGUGGUAUUCCAACAUGAAAGUAACUUUUGUCUACGUGCUUUUUCCCUUUACAGAAGGAAUCUCAGCUCAGUCCUCAAUCAACAACAUCUCAACCCCCUCAACCCCACGACCCACUAGUGCUACAACAUCCACUACCCUACAGGCCACAUGUCCGAAACGCAUAGAAUAUAUUACUAAGUCUGAUCUGUUCCGGCUGAAGGUAAUAUGGAAGGUCGGUCCAUGUGAAGGUCAGCUUUAUGUGUAUUCUUAUGAGCGUCAAGGGCUUUUGUGCUCUAGCAGUGAAAUAUCAGUCAGCUGGUGGUCUGGAGUGUGUAAAGACAGAAGAUGUGGAGACUUCAAGGGCUUUAAGCACACUUCAAACCAAGCUAAAGGUCUUAUGCUCACAAAAAAUAUGACAUUCAUCGAUACUACUAAGUGCAACGGCCUGCAUAUCAUGUGUGAAGAUCCUCUAGGAACAGAGUUGGCUGCUUAUAAAGCAGUAACUGGCAUAUUAAUUUUCUUGAUCUUGGGUGUCAUUCUGGUUCAGUUUGGUCGGCCCACGUACAAAGCCAUCCGCAAACGAUUUUCACAAAAACGUCAGAAUCGCUGGGUCGGCCCGACUCAGAGCGUGUGCUAUAAUAGAGGUCAAGGACCCCCAAACAAAAACACAGACAAGAGACAGUCCUUUCCUGGUUUGGAGAGGCUGACGGUAAACCAGAGCAGAGAGCCCUCAUCCAACAGAAACAGUGAUUAUGACUCAUACGGCUACAGCUGAAGGCCUGUGCUCACAAAAGACUUACUGACCCCAAGAACAACGCUCGUCAUCUACAAUCAGCAGAUUGUUUUACAUUACACGGCUUCGGUUGUGUUGAGCUGUCGAUUGGCAAAACAAGAAAGCUGUAAAUAUCUUUGAAAAGCAUAGCUGAGAAAUCCAUUUAGGAUCAAAUAAAAAUAAUAAUGAUAACUUAGUCUCA